UACGAAGGGGGCUAGCGUUGCUCGGAAUCACUGGGCGUAAAGCGUGCGCAGGCGGUUCGUUGUGUCGGCGGUGAAAGCCCCGGGCUUAACCUGGGAAUGGCCGUUGAAACUGGCGAACUGGAGUGUGGCAGAGGGGGGUGGAAUUCCGCGUGUAGCAGUGAAAUGCGUAGAGAUGCGGAGGAACACCGAUGGCGAAGGCAGCCCCCUGGGCUGACACUGACGCUCAGGCACGAAAGCGUGGGGAGCAAACAGG
rnacentral:rRNA from 1 species